GAGAUUCGUGGUAAAAGGUCAAGAAAGGUUCCAGUGCUUCUAACCCCCGACAUGAUCGCUGCUAUGGACCUCCAAAUGAAAAGCAGGAAAGAGUGUCAAGUCCACAAAGAAAAUGUGUACAUGUUUGCACGGCCAGGUGUCCUUUCCCAUUACAGAGGCUCUGACUGCUUUCGUAAGUAUGCAAAGCAAUGUGGUGCAAAGAACCCAGAGGCACUCACCUCAACAAGAUUGCGGAAACAAGUGGCCACUUUGUCCACACUACUAAAUCUGAAAGAAAAUGAAAUGGAUCAACUUGCCACCUUUCUAGGACACGACAUCCGUGUCCAUAGAGAAUUCUAUCGGCUUCCAGAGAGUACCCUUCAGCUCGCAAAAUAUCACUCGAAAAAGGAAGACUGCCUUACCUGCAGGGGAAAGGGCUGGAUGACAUUGAGGUCAAUCCUGAAGGUAACAUUUUAUUUGAAAUAUAGUUUUUAACCACUUCAAAUAUAACUAUUAUAAGUGUUCUUAGUCCUUAAUUUAAAUGAUUUGCCUGAACUGUUUUUUCCCUAACCAGAUGAAGUAGAAAUGAGUGACGAUUCCAGCGAAGAAAACGUUGCUGACCUACAUCAAUGCAAAGGCUCAAUAACUGAGACUGCUAGGGACCAGACACUUCUGAGGCACACUCCUGAGUCAACCAGCCUGGACAACAUGGAGGGCACUUCCGAGUCAACCAGCCUGGACAACAUGGAGGGCACUUCCGAGUCAACCAGCCUGGACAACAUGGAGGGCACUUCCGAGUCAACCACCCUGUACAAUAUGGAGGGCACUUCCGAGUCAACCAGCCUGGACAACAUGAAGGGCACUCCUGAAUCAACCACCCUGGACAACAUGGAGGGCACUCCUGAAUCAACCACCUUGGAUGACGUAAACAUGAGUCACAAAAUAGUCACAUUCCAAGCUUCUUCAAAGGGCUCCAAAAGAAAGCAAGCUGUGAAGGUGAGAAGCAAGUGGACAGGUGAGGAAGUGAAGGCUGUUGAGCGGCAUUUGCUUAACUUCAUUACAAGCUGCAGAAUACCUGGUAAAAAGGACUGUGACUCCUGCCUCCAGGCAGAGCCAGUAGCUCUGAAAGACCGAGACUGGGUUGCCAUCAAGUACUACGUACACAACAGAAACGUAGCAUUAAAAAGGAAGAUGACUAGGUAGAUCCAUUCCAAUUGAUCUUGGUUUUUGCUUGUAUUUUUUUUGCUGGCACUCAAUAAAAGUAAGAAAUGCAAAAAGUGUUCCGCCUUUUUUUAUUACGUGAAUAUUUGCUACAAAUUUUUAUAUAUUGUCACAAAUAACAAUAAUACGACUUAAACAGUAGACUGAGAAUAUAUUAUAUUUAAGAGCUAUGCGAACAUGGAUAGUCCUUUCUGUUGAAGGUUACCCGGGCUGUCUGGGGUUUUGACAUUUCUACAUAUAUAACCGGACCCCAGUUAAAAUACAGAUCCUAUUUUGUGUAUUCUAGGGUCU
rnacentral:lncRNA from 1 species